CGAUGCCUACGGGGCGCAGCAGUGGGGAAUAUUGGGCAAUGGACGCAAGUCUGAACCAGCAACGUCGCGUGAAGGAAGAAGGCUUUCGGGUUGUAAACUUCUUUUAAGGGGGAAGAGCAGAAGACGGUACCCCUUGAAUAAGCCACGGCUAACUACGUGCCAGCAGCCGCGGUAAUACGUAGGUGGCAAGCGUUGUCCGGAUUUACUGGGUGUAAAGGGCGUGCAGCCGGAGAGACAAGUCAGAUGUGAAGUCCACGGGCUCAACCCGUGAACUGCAUUUGA
rnacentral:rRNA from 1 species